CCUACGGGUGGCAGCAGUCGAGAAUCAUUCACAAUGGGGGAAACCCUGAUGGUGCGACGCCGCGUUGGGGAAUGAAGGUCUUCGGAUUGUAAACCCCUGUCAUGUGGGAGCAAAUUAAAAAGAUAGUACCACAAGAGGAAGAGACGGCUAACUCUGGGCCAGCAGCAGCGGGAAUACAGAGGUCUCUAGCGUUGUUCGGAAUCACUGGGUGUAAAGCGUGCGUAGGCUGUUUCGUAAGUCGUGUGUGAAAGGCGCGGGCUCAACCCGCGGACGGCACAUGAUACUGCGAGACUAGAGUAAUGGAGGGGGAAGCGGAAUUCUUGGUGUAGCAGUGAAAUGCGUAGAUA
rnacentral:rRNA from 1 species